rnacentral:rRNA from 1 species
AUACGGAGGAUCCGAGCGUUAUCCGGAUUUAUUGGGUUUAAAGGGUGCGUAGGCGGACUAGUAAGUCAGUGGUGAAAUCCUGCAGCUUAACUGUAGAAUUGCCGUUGAUACUGUUAGUCUUGAGUACAUUUGAGGUAGGCGGAAUGUGGUGUGUAGCGGUGAAAUGCAUAGAUAUACCACAGAACACCGAUUGCGAAGGCAGCUUACUAAACUGUAACUGACGCUGAGGCACGAAAGCGUGGGUAUCAAACAGGAUUAGAUACCCUGGUAGUCCACGCUGUAAACGAUGAUUACUGGUUGUUUGCGAUACACCGCAAGUGACUGAGCGAAAGCAUUAAGUAAUCCACCUGGGGAGUACGUCGGCAACGAUGAAACUCAAAGGAAUUGGCGGGG